CUGAAAGUGGCAGAGAGGGAGAGAGAGCAAGAGGAUGAAUGCGAGGCUGUUUAAUGAUAUACAAACUCGUCUGUAUUUAGAUUUAUUUUUAUUUUUAUUCCUGAUGUCAUUAAAAGGACAUGCGAGGUUGAUUUCGACAGACUGAUAAGCAACACGGAAGAAAGAGGAAGGCUGGUUGGGAGCUUCAGCUUCCAGUGAAGCUGCAUUUCAAAAGCGUUUCACUCCAAUAAUGUCAAGACUAACAUGUCACGGUAGUGUGAGCUUCAUCUUUGGUGACGUAUUUCCACGCACUUGAUGAACCGCUGCUAGUUGUCUG